rnacentral:lncRNA from 1 species
GCCUGGAGGUAGAGGGAGGAGAAAUGAGAACAACUCAGGCCGGUGGCCAAGGUGAGGCCUGCGGGUAGGGGGCGCAGUGCCUGGCACACGAAUGGCACUUAAUUUUCUGAAUAAAUAACUGAUUACUUGGUUCAUCUCUGGGAACAUUGAGUUUGCUAUUGAGUUGCCCCAUCAAACUCUUGGUCCACAGGUCAAUCCCCAGCUUCAAUAUCUCACCCCACGAUCGACCUCUUUCGCUGAAGUCAGGAGUGACAGCAAUUAACUCCUCCGCUGCACCGUCCCCAGGGCCAGAUGCCACGUGAGAGACCCCAGGCUGGAGCGAGAACUGCAAAUGUUCACAGUUCCAAGGGACCGCGGGGGAAAUUUACACCUCCUCCCCCUACUGCUUGUGCUUCCUUUCGCUUUGAAGUUCUGUGGCUCCGCACUGGAGUUGGGGAGGCAAGUCCUCCAGCCUCGGGCUUUUAAUAUUCACAUCACGUCCUCUUUGCAGCUACUUUGGGAGGAUUGAAAGCUACAAAGGACGUUUGGGUGACCUCCCCACAACACAAGGUGGGGUGGGGGGUUUCAACCCACACUGCCCCAUCUUGAAUCGCCAUGGAUGACCAAGUAGUUGAAACACGACGGGGGACUUAGGUGCCAGUCCUUCUAGGCAGAAGGGCCCUCUUGGGUUUUCAAUGAAAGGAAGAGUGUGAGGCAUUAAGAAGCCUGAGGAAGAGAGGAGAGAGGGGCUAGGGGCUCCCGCCUGGGAACAGGGAACUGCAAGAGGGCCUGUUCAGUGCUUUGGCCUAACUCGAAGUGGUGCCGCUAAGGUGACUGGUGUCCUGGUUUCCACCGGUCAUGGUUUGAUGAGCAUUUCUUCGAAGAUGUGAACUGCCUACCCCAACGGCCCAGCUCUUGGCCCAACAGUCUACACCACGCUCAAGAUUGUCAAGAGGUCAUUGUGCUUGUUGGAUGGCUAGUUAACUCUUUACUCACCACUUCUUCCCUGACCCUCUUCUUGUAAAUUUCUAAAACUAGCAAUACAAGAUUCAAAUCUAAAUCAUCAUACAGAACUGCAUGUUGGGCAGAAUAAUGGCCUCCAAAGUAUCCAUGUCCUAAUCUCCAGAACCUGUAAACAUGUUACCUUUCUUGGCAAAAGGGAAUUAAAUUUGCAGAUAAAAUUAAGGUUGCUAAUCGCCUGACCUUAAAGUAGAGAAACCAGCCUGGAUUAUCUAGGUGGGCCC